GACGAACGCUGGCGGCGUGCCUAAUACAUGCAAGUCGAGCGGAACUGGGGGAGCUUGCUCCUUCCAGUUUAGCGGCGGACGGGUGAGUAACACGUGGGCAACCUGCCCUGCAGAUCGGGAUAACUCCGGGGAACCGGUGCUAAUACCGAAUAGGUUGGCGCCUCUCCUGAGGCGCUACGGAAAGACGGUUUCGGCUGUCACUGCAGGAUGGGCCCGCGGCGCAUUAGCUAGUUGGUGGGGUAACGGCCCACCAAGGCGACGAUGGGUAGCCGACCUGAGAGGGUGACCGGCCAGACUGGGACUGAGACACGGCCCAGACUCCUACGGGAGGCAGCAGUAGGGAAUCUUCCGCAAUGGACGCAAGUCUGACGGAGCAACGCCGCGUGAGUGACGAAGGUUUUCGGAUCGUAAAACUCUGUUGUGAGGGAAGAACACGUACCAACUAACUAUUGGUACCUUGACGGUACCUCACCAGAAAGCCACGGCUAACUACGUGCCAGCAGCCGCGGUAA
rnacentral:rRNA from 1 species